UCUCUCCAGAUUCCUUAUCUCUCAAACCUAAAUAGUGAUUUGAGUGGCUUAAAAAAGUGGAAAAGUAAAAUUGAAAUGACCUUGGAGUCUUUAGUGACAAACAAGUUCAUCUAAAACACAA
rnacentral:snoRNA from 1 species